AUUGAACGCUGGCGGCAUGCCUUACACAUGCAAGUCGAACGGCAGCACGGGUGCUUGCACCUGGUGGCGAGUGGCGAACGGGUGAGUAAUACAUCGGCACAUGUCCUGUAGUUGGGGAUAGCCCUGCGAAAGCCGGAUUAAUACCGCAUACGAUCUACGGCUGACAGCGGGGGCCCUUCGGGCCUCGCCCUUUCGGGUUGGCCGAUGGCUGAUUAGGUAGUUGGUGGGGUAAAGGCCUACCAAGGCGACGAUCAGUAGCUGGUCUGAGAGGACGAGCAGCCACACUGGGACUGAGACACGGCCCAGACUCCUACGGGAGGCAGCAGUGGGGAAUAUUGGACAAUGGGCGAAAGCCUGAUCCAGCAAUGCCGCGUGUGUGAAGAAGGCCUUCGGGUUGUAAAGCACUUUUGUCCGGAAAGAAAUCCUGGGCCCUAAUACGGUCGGGGGAUGACGGUACCGGAAGAAUAAGCACCGGCUAACUACGUG
rnacentral:rRNA from 1 species